CAAGACAAAAUAUCCAUCAAAUGUAAUAGGCUAAAUAAACCAAGCAUUGGCACACGUGAAGGGGUUGUGAGAGACUAGGAAAAGUUUUCUAAACUAUAAUGUUAUUGUACUGUAGAUUCAACAUAUGCGAUUAAUCGUUUCUUUUCCCGAUCUUCGACAUGCGUAUUGCGAACAUACAACGACGGAAAACACAUGCAUUAUCAUCUAAAUCUAGUAAUAUGAGUCAUACCUGCUGAGUGCUGAAAUCAAACCCCAGGCAUAGGGGGUCCCCAGGAGCAAGACAUCUCACGGGCCUGUACUGAAUGCACAAUGAAUGCUUGGUGAGAUGUGAAUCAGAGGACACUGGAUAAAUCUUCCAAACCCACUGGGGAGUUGCUGCACUGAAGCAAGACCAUAACCACAAAUUGGCCAUUACGAUAUUGAGAGGGGAGGAAAACAGUAUAAAUAGAUACAUAUAUAUUUUAAAAAUGUAAUGUAAAUGAUUU